AUGCUCAUAAUGGAUUAAUUCCUUCUUUUAUUAAAAUAUAGCAUCGAUUUCUCCAAUUGAUGGUUAUUGCAAAAGUAUUGAUAUGACAUAACAGAAAUAACCAUUUAACAAAUUCACGGGGAUCGUGGAUGGCCAUUGUCAAGAUCUCCACGAAAUAAGAGGUAGUGAUCAUUAUAAUGAUCGUUAUACUCCUUGAUCGCACAUUCUUCACUUGUAAGUCCCGAGCAAUCGUCAUUUUUCACCCAUAAUGUAGCUUUGUCCUCCUUGUCAAAAUUUUG
rnacentral:lncRNA from 1 species